UACGUAGGGGGCAAGCGUUGUCCGGAAUUAUUGGGCGUAAAGAGCGCGUAGGCGGUCCGGUAAGUCAGCUGUGAAAGUCAAGGGCUCAACCCUUGAAAGCCGGCUGAUACUGCCGGACUAGAGGUCCGGAAGAGGCGAGUGGAAUUCCCGGUGUAGCGGUGAAAUGCGCAGAUAUCGGGAAGAACACCCGUGGCUAAGGCGGCUCUCUAGUACGGUACUGACGCUGAGACGCGAAAGCGUGGGGAGCGAACAGG
rnacentral:rRNA from 1 species